rnacentral:rRNA from 1 species
GCACCAGUGGGGAAUCUUGCACAAUGGAGGAAACUCUGAUGCAGCGAUGCCGCGUGAGUGAAGAAGGCCUUUGGGUUGUAAAGCUCUUUUGUAGGGGAAGAUAAUGACUGUACCCUAAGAAUAAGGUCCGGCUAACUUCGUGCCAGCAGCCGCGGUAAUACGAAGGGACCUAGCGUAGUUCGGAAUUACUGGGCGUAAAGCGCGCGUAGGCCGUUGAGUUAGUUAAUUGUGAAAUCCCAAAGCUUAACUUUGGAACUGCAAUUAAAACUGCUCGACUAGAGUUUGAUAGAGGAAAGCGGAAUACAUAGUGUAGAGGUGAAAUUCGUAGAUAUUAUGUAGAACACCAGUUGCGAAGGCGGCUUUCUGGAUCAACACUGACGCUGAGGCGCGAAAGUAUGGGUAGCAAAGAGGAUUAGAUACCC